UGCUCUUAAGAUACCCUCGAUACGUUAUGAGGUUUGAAAGAAGACCCACACAAAAAGCAAAGUAGGGAAAAAAGCUUGGGUUGAGCCACAGACUGAGGAGGCUUAUAAUCGGUAUAAACAAGCAGUGGAAGAGCUCGCUAGGAGUCAGCCGACCGAUGAGCAAGGCCAAUCAAUCGUGCCAUAGGAGGAAGAAACUCUCUCAUUGUGAUUGAACGUGGUUGGAGGCGUGUAUAAGGGUAGAGCAUACGGCCUUUCCUCCGAGCGCAAUUUUCAUGGCCUCGUGUGUGGACUACAAGGUAUUGGGACAUCCGCUACCGUACAAAAUGAGGACCUUGAAGAGAUGCGGCGAACGAUUCAACAACUUUCUAGAAACUAUGUGGAUGAACGAGAAAAAAGAAAGCAUGAAGAGAAGAUUAUAGACGCACUUAGGAAUGACAUCGACUCCCUCAAGGCUCAAGUGAACCACUUAAUCGGUCUGCCCCGCUCUUCGCCAAAAAGCCACAUUCAUGAAGAGGAUGAAAAUGAUGGAAAUAAUAUAAAUGAUGAAGAAGAUGAGGGGAAAUCCGAAGACAAGGAGUGAUUUUAUGUUUGGUUGGAUUGUUGUUUAGUUGGAUGUUAACUUUGAAUGUUACAUUUUGAAGUUUGGCUGGAGAGUUUUGAUGUUUGAUGGGAUAA